UACGUAGGGUGCGAGCGUUGUCCGGAAUUACUGGGCGUAAAGAGCUCGUAGGUGGUUUGUCGCGUUGUCCGUGAAAACUCACAACUCAAUUGUGGGCGUGCGGGCGAUACGGGCAGACUGGAGUACUGCAGGGGAGACUGGAAUUCCUGGUGUAGCGGUGGAAUGCGCAGGAUAUCAGGAAGAACACCCGUGGCGAAAGCGGCUCUCUGGGACGGUACUGACGCUGAGACGCGAAAGCGUGGGGAGCGAACAGG
rnacentral:rRNA from 1 species